GGAGAGAUGCGAGAGCGGUCGAAUCGGGCGGUCUCGAAAACCGUUGUACCUCCGGGUACCGGGGGUUCGAAUCCCCCUCUCUCCG
rnacentral:tRNA from 1 species